UACAAGUUUCUACAGAUCUCAUUUCAUUUUCUCUAUGCUAUUUUCUCAAUUUAUAAUUUUGAUCUGAUCGUCUACAAUGAAGAUGACCCCACCCUUGUGAUCCAUGAGGAAGUCAAGGCCAAGAAGAGUUCGAGAAGUUCGGAACACUCCCGACCAGUCUUCCACUGAUAACUAGAAGUUUGAGCGAGUUCUGGCAAUCAUCAGAGAUAGCUUAAAGAUGGACUCGAGCUUGCUGCAAGAGAAGAUAAAUAUGCAAGUCAAAUUUGCAAUCAAGAACGAUGUCACCGAACUGAUUGAUAUCUCAACAAUAUUUGUUGUGGAUGGUUGCGUAGCACGAAUUGCUGCCAAGCUAGAGUCAAUGGAACUCUGCGCUAGUGUAAAAGGCAGGCAUAUUCUUUGCACUUUUCCCAAAGGAUAUUGAUUUUGUUGUCCUUGUACGAAAGAAAUCAAUACUCAAGGUUCAUACACAUUUGAUCUUGAAUUUGUAUAUGCAGGAGUGAAUAUUGUAUGAUCAAGGUUUUUAAUUUUCCUAGUUAAAAAAAUAGUUAUAAAACU